GAUGAACGCUGGCGGCGUGCUUAACACAUGCAAGUCGAACGGAAAGGCCCAAGCUUGCUUGGGUGCUCGAGUGGCGAACGGGUGAGUAACACGUGGGUGAUCUGCCCUGCACUUUGGGAUAAGCCUGGGAAACUGGGUCUAAUACCGGAUAGGACCAUCGUUUAGUGUCGGUGGUGGAAAGUUUUUCGGUGUGGGAUGAGCUCGCGGCCUAUCAGCUUGUUGGUGGGGUAAUGGCCUACCAAGGCGUCGACGGGUAGCCGGCCUGAGAGGGUGUACGGCCACAUUGGGACUGAGAUACGGCCCAGACUCCUACGGGAGGCGGCAGUGGGGAAUAUUGCACAAUGAGCGCAAGCCUGAUGCAGCGACGCCGCGUGGGGGAUGACGGCCUUCGGGUUGUAAACUCCUUUCGCCAAGGACGAAGCGUUUUGUGACGGUACUUGGAGAAGAAGCACCGGCUAACUACGUG
rnacentral:rRNA from 1 species